rnacentral:rRNA from 1 species
AUUGAACGCUGGCGGCAUGCCUUACACAUGUAAGUCGAACGGCAGCGGGCCUUCGGGUGCCGGCGAGUGGCGAACGGGUGAGUAAUGCAUCGGAACGUGCCAUUGAGUGGGGGAUAACGUAGCGAAAGUUACGCUAAUACCGCAUAUUCUGUGAGCAGGAAAGCAGGGGACCGCAAGGCCUUGCGCUCUUUGAGCGGCCGAUGUCAGAUUAGCUAGUUGGUGAGGUAAAGGCUUACCAAGGCGACGAUCUGUAGCGGGUCUGAGAGGAUGAUCCGCCACACUGGAACUGAGACACGGUCCAGACUCCUACGGGAGGCAGCAGUGGGGAAUUUUGGACAAUGGGCGCAAGCCUGAUCCAGCCAUGCCGCGUGAGUGAAGAAGGCCUUC